rnacentral:tRNA from 1 species
UUUAGGGUGCCAGAAAUUAUGGGUGUGAUUUAGGAUUACAAUAUGGCGGUAUGUCCUCUAAGC